GUCUUCCUCUACUCGUAUUUGGCUGUCAAUUUUUUUCUACACUUUUAGGAGUAUUUUGUGCAAGAAUAUAGAUUAAAAUCGUCUGCCUAAGAAAAAUUGAAUUGUUUUGGGAACUUUUUCAUGAUUUUGGAUUUUUGGGUUGGAUGAGUUUUUGGUGGUAAUAGGUGUCUUCCUCUACUCGUAUUUGGCUGUCAAUUUUAUUCUACACUUUUAGGAGUAUUUUGUGCAAGAAAAUGCAUUAAAAUCGUCUGCCUAAGACAAAUUGAAUUUUUUUGGGAACUUUUUUGUGAUUUUGGAUUUUUGGGUUGGAUGAGUUUUUGGUGGUAAUAGGUGUCUUCCUCUACUCGUAUUUGGCUGUCAAUUUUUUUCUACACUUUUAGGAGUAUUUUGUGCAAGAAAAUGCAUUAAAAUCGUCUGCCCAAGACAAAUUGACUUUUUUUGGGAACUUUUUCAUGAUUUUGGAUUUUUGGGUUGAAUGAGUUUUUGGUGGUAAUAGGUGUCUUCCUCUACUCGUAUUUGGCUGUCAAUUUUAUUCUACACUUUUAGGAGUAUUUUGUGCAAGAAAAUGCAUUAAAAUCGUCUGCCUAAGACAAAUUGAAUUUUUUUGGGAACUUUUUUGUGAUUUUGGAUUUUUGGGUUGGAUGAGUUUUUGGUGGUAAUAGGUGUCUUCCUCUACUCGUAUUUGGCUGUCAAUUUUUUUCUACACUUUUAGGAGUAUUUUGUGCAAGAAAAUGCAUUAAAAUCGUCUGCCCAAGACAAAUUGACUUUUUUUGGGAACUUUUUCAUGAUUUUGGAUUUUUGGGUUGAAUGAGUUUUUGGUGGUAAUAGGUGUCUUCCUCUACUCGUAUUUGGCUGUCAAUUUUAUUCUACACUUUUAGGAGUAUUUUGUGCAAGAAAAUGCAUUAAAAUCGUCUGCCUAAGACAAAUUGAAUUUUUUUGGGAACUUUUUUGUGAUUUUGGAUUUUUGGGUUGGAUGAGUUUUUGGUGGUAAUAGGUGUCUUCCUCUACUCGUAUUUGGCUGUCAAUUUUUUUCUACACUUUUAGGAGUAUUUUGUGCAAGAAAAUGCAUUAAAAUCGUCUGCCUAAGACAAAUUGAAUUUUUUUGGGAACUUUUUUGUGAUUUUGGAUUUUUGGGUUGAAUGAGUUUUUGGUGGUAAUAGGUGUCUUCCUCUACUCGUAUUUGGCUGUCAAUUUUUUUCUACACUUUUAGGAGUAUUUUGUGCAAGAAAAUGCAUUAGAAUCGUCUGCCUAAGACAAAUUGAAUUUUUUUUGGAACUUUUUCAUGAUUUUGGAUUUUUGGGUUGGAUGAGUUUUUGGUGGUAAUAGGUGUCUUCCUCUACUCGUAUUUGGCUGUAAAUUUUUUUCUACACUUUUAGGAGUAUUUUGUGCAAGAAAAUGCAUUAAAAUCGUCUGCCUAAGACAAAUUGAAUUUUUUUGGGAACUUUUUUGUGAUUUUGGAUUUUUGGGUUGGAUGAGUUUUUGGUGGUAAUAGGUGUCUUCCUCUACUCGUAUUUGGCUGUCAAUUUUUUUCUACACUUUUAGGAGUAUUUUGUGCAAGAAAAUGCAUUAAAAUCGUCUGCCCAAGACAAAUUGACUUUUUUUGGGAACUUUUUCAUGAUUUUGGAUUUUUGGGUUGAAUGAGUUUUUGGUGGUAAUAGGUGUCUUCCUCUACUCGUAUUUGGCUGUCAAUUUUAUUCUACACUUUUAGGAGUAUUUUGUGCAAGAAAAUGCAUUAAAAUCGUCUGCCUAAGACAAAUUGAAUUUUUUUGGGAACUUUUUUAUGAUUUUGGAUUUUUGGGUUGGAUGACUUUUUGGUGGUAAUAGGUGUCUUCCUCUACUCGUAUUUGGCUGUCAAUUUUUUUCUACACUUUUAGGAGUAUUUUGUGCAAGAAAAUGCAUUAAAAUCGUCUGCCUAAGACAAAUUGAAUUUUUUUGGGAACUUUUUUAUGAUUUUGGAUUUUUGGGUUGGAUGACUUUUUGGUGGUAAUAGGUGUCUUCCUCUACUCGUAUUUGGCUGUCAAUUUUUUUCUACACUUUUAGGAGUAUUUUGUGCAAGAAAAUGCAUUAAAAUCGUCUGCCUAAGACAAAUUGAAUUUUUUUGGGAACUUUUUUGUGAUUUUGGAUUUUUGGGUUGGAUGACUUUUUGGU